AUAAAGAAAAUAUUUAUUUAUUUGAAAAAGUCAAAACAGGCAAAUAGAGAAACAAUGAUUCAAACAAUAAAACUUCCCGAGUGAAAUAUGGCUUUUUAAAAUUUAUAAUAAACUAAUUACAUUGCAAAGUUGCUCUACAAGUUUCAUUAAUGUUUUAGGUAAUGUACAGAUUUUUAAUACAACACCUAGUUAUUUUUUUUUAUAACAAAUGACUCAGUUUACCUGGGACUAACGUUUGAUUCACCCAGUUGGCCUGAGACUAACAGUUGAUUGACCCAGUUGACCUGGGACUUACAAAUAAGAACAAAAACUAACAAAUAGACACAUUAGGAUGAUAUACUAACAAAUAGACACAUUAGAAUGAUAUA